rnacentral:rRNA from 1 species
GACGAACGCUGGCGGCGUGCUUAGCACAUGCAAGUCGAACGGAAAGGCCCUGCUUUUGUGGGGUGCUCGAGUGGCGAACGGGUGAGUAACACGUGAGUAACCUGCCCUUGACUUUGGGAUAACUUCAGGAAACUGGGGCUAAUACCGGAUAGGAGCUCCUGCUGCAUGGUGGGGGUUGGAAAGUUUCGGCGGUUGGGGAUGGACUCGCGGCUUAUCAGCUUGUUGGUGGGGUAGUGGCUUACCAAGGCUUUGACGGGUAGCCGGCCUGAGAGGGUGACCGGCCACAUUGGGACUGAGAUACGGCACAGACUCCUACGGGAGGCAGCAGUGGGGAAUAUUGCACAAUGGGCGGAAGCCUGAUGCAGCAACGCCGCGUGCGGGAUGACGGCCUUCGGGUUGUAAACCGCUUUCGCCUGUGACGAAGCGUGAGUGACGGUAAUGGGUAAAGAAGCACCGGCUAAGUACGUG